rnacentral:misc_RNA from 1 species
GUAGGUGAACCUGCGGAAGGAUCAUUAUUGAAAUAAACCUGAUAGGUUGUUGCUGGCUUCCUAGCAUGUGCACACCUUGUCAUCUUUAUAUCUCCACCUGUGCAUCUUUUGUAGACCUUUCAGGUCUAUGUUGCUUCAUUUACCCCAAUGUAUGUUAAUAGAAUGUUGUGACUAUAUAAAAUCUAUACAACUUUCAGCAACGGAUCUCUUGGCUCUC